AUCUGGAACGCUCAGCGCCUAGCAGUACGGUUCGUUAGCCCAGGUUAGCUCUGGGGGUGGGAAUCGGGCAUGUCAUCUGGGGGAACCCAGUAAGAGUAAUAAUGGUGAUAUUUUAGUGCUUAAUAUGAAGCCACACACCAUUCCAAACUCCGUACUGUCCCGGACACUGGGACGACUGUACAAAGAGAAGAUAAAACCCCAAACUGCCUCUUGCAUCCAGGCAGACCCGAAAAAAAAUCAAAUCCCAGAAACUUCGCGGACACCGGGGACUGUGAGGCUCUGUGUCGAGCUACGGGAUAAUCAAAUCGGACAGAGUCCUGGUCCCAGAGGGGAUCACAAUCUCAAGGCUUCAUCCAUCCGCAACCGAAACCAAAAGUUUUCUCAUCCCAGGAGGGCUAAGAAAAAGGAACGGGAUGCAAGCGGGGACCGUGACCACACGAAGGUGAUGUUCCACCCAAGCAAGGGAUGCAUGGUGGAGCUGCAGAUAAAACCCUAAUUGCACACUUUCUCCUACUUCAUUUGUGUAAAAUUUUCCAUCUGCUCCAUCUAAAGAUGUCUAAACUGUUAGUAUCAAACCUGCA